UACGUAGGGUGCGAGCGUUGUCCGGAAUUAUUGGGCGUAAAGAGCUUGUAGGUGGUUUGUCGCGUCUGCUGUGAAAAAUCCCGAGGCUCAACCUCGGACUUGCAGUGGGUACGGGCAGACUAGAGUGUGGGUAGGGGGAGACUGGAAUUCCUGGUGUAGGCGUGGAAUGCGCAGAUAUCAGGAGGAACAUCAGUGGCGAAGGCAGCUCGCUGGGACGUGACUGACGCUGGAGAACG
rnacentral:rRNA from 1 species